UUGCUGGUGUUGUUGCAUGGAGCAAGAUGGGGACUACCACCACUUCCAAAGAACUAAAGAUGAGUAUUACACACAAGGUUCAGUUUCACAGUCUGCCUGGGAUACAAGCUGUCUCCCACAAAUCUCCCCAUGGUGAAGGAUGAAAGCGCAACAUACCUCUGGGAGCCAUAUUGGAGAAACUGAUCUUUCCUAGCUCAGGACUGAGAUCAGAACUUCCAUGACUAUUGUUAUGCCUUUUUCUCUCUAAGAACAUAAUCAUGAUCCAUUAAUAUUUUGUGAACCCAUGGUGACGAUGAUUGUUGUUUCUUUAUUUCAGAUGUAGAAACAUGAUGUGUUUUGAUGAACUCUUCAAAUAAUCCAUUGAUAAUAAUUUAUUGUACUGUGUACCUACUAUGUGCUUAUUGUUGUAUAGGAUUACUCUAAUAAAACUCAGAUAUUUUUUAUUCCUCAGAGAAUGGGUUGUCAGAAGACUAUCAAUGAAUAAAGUUCAGAAUCAUUUUGAUGGAAAAGUAGUCCUUUUCUUUUAAAGAAAAAGAAAAGAAUCAGUUAUUUCUCAGUUUAGGAGAGGAUGAGCAAUAAAAUAUUAUUCUUUCUUGAAAUCAUUUCCAAUAGCUACGCUAACAGUUCAUUGAUGUGAUUCAUGUGAAAGCAUGCAGAAACAAAUGAAAUGAUACUAAUGUAUAGAACCCAUGUGCCUAUGAUUUCUACUUCAUGCCUUAGUUGAGGAUGAUGAGGGGUGGAAAAGGAGAAAUAAAAUAAAAAUAUAUCACAAAAAGUUACACACACACCCAGAGUAUGCAAGAGUAAUAUAUUUUUAUUUAGUAAGAAAAAGCUCAGGUAUGAAUAUAUGCUGGUUUCAUAACAGGCUUUAUUUCUUUAAAUACACUAUUGGAAAAAAACUCAGAAAGAGAAAAUAUAUCAAAUGUGGUUGCUUUAUGGAAGAAUAAUCAGUAAAAAUAUGUAAGUACCAAGAAGAAGAAACUCCAAUUUUAAAGGGAAAAAAAUAAGAUGAAUGACUACAGUUAGGCAACACUCAAACAGUAAGUCAAUGUAAUAGAAAAGGCUAUCUUUAAAUUUAUUGAUGAAAAAUAUGAUUUGACUGACUUUUCAUGUAAUGAACAAGUGUGUAUUAAGCAUCUACUAUGGACCAGGCCCUAUGCUAUGUGCUGGGAUAUAUAAACAGAAAAGUGAGACAAUAAAUUGUGUUGUGUUAUAUAGCUAAACAUUUCUAAUUAGAUUGACUAUAGUCUUUCAUGUCGACCAAAAAAGAAAGGCUUUUAAUACAGUGUAAUGUCACAAAUUGUCCUUUAUCUCUUCUAUUGUGAUGCUAUAAUCAUCACUGACCAAUAAAAAUGUACAAGUUUCCUAAGAAUUUCAUGUGAAUAUGAUUUUUUUUUCCAAUCUCUCUCUUCUUUUCUGAAGAAUGAUCAACUAAUAUGUAUUCAGCACAGUAACAAACAUUAUAGGGCACCGGGACACAUUGUGCCUAUACUUAAUGAGCUUUCCCACACACACACAGAGACACACCACUCAACACUAGCUCUGUCAUUGGCCUUUACUGCCUGGCCUUGCAACUGUCUCUUCUAGCAAUGCAAUUCCUACUGCCUCAGUGGCCAUAGCUACUAAAAAACCCAGAAAAGAACGUUAUCACCAAAGUCCUUGCCACUGUCAAAUAGUUCAACAUCAGAAAUGGAUAUGGUUUUGUCAGUGGAAGCAACUCUAAAAGAUUCUUGUUCAUAUGUUAGCCUUAUAUCCAUUCUACACUCCAGUCAUACUGAAUUACUUGUCCUUCACAACACUGGACUUCCUUUCUGCCCCAAAGCUGAUGCCUCCCAUAUGAUUGUCUCCCCCUGUGGAUUCUUUGAGAGCAGGGAUUGUCUCACUUUGUUAUCUGUAUCCCCAGUCCUUAGAACAGUGAUUUGCACUAAGUAAGUACUCAAUAAAUGCUUUUUUAUUCAUUCAUUCAUGAACACUAAAAUGUUCAGGAGAAGAAACACAGCAACAAAAACGAAAGAAAAAUGUUAUUGUCAACUUGAUUUGGAAUAAAAUACCAUACCUGGGUAACUUUCUAUACUAAUUUAACAAAUUCAAUUCAACAAGCAUUUUAAGCGUCUAUUAUGUGCCAGACAUUGUGAGACUAUAGGUACUUGUGGAUACAAAGACUAAUAAAUAGUGUCCUUAAAAAUUUACACUUUAAUAAAAACAAACUGAGAAAAUCCUCUGCCAAAAUCAGACCAUGCUAAAGGACAUUAGUGGAGUAAAAAGACAUUCAAUAAACCCAAUCACAUUUUGAAUAUUUUUUUUUGGUCAGAUUUUCUCAAAAAAUAUUUUUGUGUGGAAUAUUUGUGUAUGCUUUCUAUAAGCACAAGCAAUGAAGAUUAUUAUAAUGAGAAAAUUAUAAAAUCUAUAGGCAUAUAAAAAUAUGUUCACUUUUUAGAAACCCAGCAUCAAAAUGCCAUUUCUAGGGUAUCAGCAAGCAUUUAUUAAACACCUACUAUGUACUCAUUCUACUCAAUAUCUGCUGCUCUACCUGGUUUUAACUCCACCAAACAAGAUGCCUCCUCGUGUCCUACCUCACCUACACACACACAAACACACAUUGUCCAGCCUCUUUUUGUGUGUUAGAUUGUAAGCUCCAUGAAGGUAAAGACUAUCUUUCUUUUUAUUAGUUGUAUCCCUAGCGCUUAGGACAGUUUGUGGCACAUAGUAAGCACUUAAUAAAUAUUUAUUGGAUUGGAUUUAUUGGAUCUUGGAUUGUGCCAGGAAAUAUAAACUCACUUAGCUCUUAAAAGGAAAACUGAAGACAAAAAGAAAAGGGGACCACAGAGGUUGAGAUGGAUACAUAGUAACGUGGAAACAACAAACAUGGCCUUGGACAGAGUUUGAGAGAAAGUGGAGGAUAAAAGGGUAUGGUAAGCUAUGGAGUCAUGAAGAGUCAGAUGCGACAGAAUGAUGGGACAACAGCAAAGCAUUUAAAAUAUUGUAUGGGAAACAAAAAAUAAAAGAAGACAGCUAAGCCUUUUUCUCUUCUCAAUCUUAGGAGCUGAGGCUUAGGACUGAGGCUAGCAAUUAAGAAUCGGGGUUUCAAAAAAGCCAUGUAUGGUCCCAGAGCUCUUGGAAAUGAUCUCUCUACUCAAAGUGUCUUUUCAGUUCCUUAAGGGAGUAAGAUAUGCACUCAAUGUCCCAUUUGGGAACUUUUCAAUGGACAGAGAGUUGUAGACUUUCCCCUGAAUUUUAAAUUGAAUCAUUGGAUUAACAGAACUAUAACAAUGGAAUUUUCACAUGCUAGAGAAGGACUAUCUUAAGAAGUUCAAGAUCUUGCUAUAAGCUGGGAUGAAUAGCUCUAACUCCUAUCUCUCAAUUUAUACCUGAAGAAGACCAGUUAAACCUGCCUCUCCCUACUUAUGAAACUAGGCAAUGAUAUCUUAUAAUCUAGUAUUCCCAAAACUGGAUUUGCUGUGAAUGCAGAUUGACAACCUAUCACUAACCUGUCAUGAAAACACUUAUCAAAAUGUUUUGAGGUUCACAGAGUAUUUCUGGAGAUGAAGAGAAGUUUACCACUCCCUACAACUUUGAGCUCUUUCCUUAAUGCACUAGGAAGCAAAAGUGUCAACAAGUGGCAACUUCAGUUUUAUGCCUGAACAACUGAUUUAAAAAAACCUACAAUUC